rnacentral:rRNA from 1 species
GACGAACGCUGGCGGCGUGCUUAACACAUGCAAGUCGAACGGAAAGGCCCUGCUUUUGUGGGGUGCUCGAGUGGCGAACGGGUGAGUAACACGUGAGUAACCUGCCCUUGACUUUGGGAUAACUUCAGGAAACUGGGGCUAAUACCGGAUAGGAGCUCCUGCUGCAUGGUGGGGGUUGGAAAGUUUCGGCGGUUGGGGAUGGACUCGCGGCUUAUCAGCUUGUUGGUGGGGUAGUGGCUUACCAAGGCUUUGACGGGUAGCCGGCCUGAGAGGGUGACCGGCCACAUUGGGACUGAGAUACGGCCCAGACUGCUACGGGAGGCAGCAGUGGGGAAUAUUGCACAAUGGGCGGAAGCCUGAUGCAGCAACGCCGCGUGCGGGAUAACGGCCUUCGGGUUGUAAACCGCUUUCGCCUGUGACGAAGCGUGAGUGACGGUAAUGGGUAAAGAAGCACCGGCUAACUACGUG